UACGUAGGGUCCAAGCGUUAUCCGGAAUUACUGGGCGUAAAGAGUUGCGUAGGUGGCAUAGUAAGCAGAUAGUGAAAUCACCCCGCUCAACGGGGUAAACGCUAGCUGAACUGCUAAGCUUGAGUUCGGGAGAGGUAGCUGGAAUUGCUGGUGUAGGGGUGAAAUCCGUAGAUAUCAGCAAGAACACCGAUGGCGUAGGCAGGCUACUGGCCCGCAACUGACACUAAGGCACGAAAGCGUGGGGAGCGAACGGG
rnacentral:rRNA from 1 species